GGUUAAGCGACUAAGCGUACACGGUGGAUGCCCUGGCAGUCAGAGGCGAUGAAGGACGUGCUAAUCUGCGAUAAGCGUCGGUAAGGUGAUAUGAACCGUUAUAACCGGCGAUUUCCGAAUGGGGAAACCCAGUGUGUUUCGACACACUAUCAUUAACUGAAUCCAUAGGUUAAUGAGGCGAACCGGGGGAACUGAAACAUCUAAGUACCCCGAGGAAAAGAAAUCAACCGAGAUUCCCCCAGUAGCGGCGAGCGAACGGGGAGCAGCCCAGAGCCUGAAUCAGUGUGUGUGUUAGUGGAAGCGUCUGGAAAGGCGCGCGAUACAGGGUGACAGCCCCGUACACAAAAAUGCACAUACUGUGAGCUCGAUGAGUAGGGCGGGACACGUGGUAUCCUGUCUGAAUAUGGGGGGACCAUCCUCCAAGGCUAAAUACUCCUGACUGACCGAUAGUGAACCAGUACCGUGAGGGAAAGGCGAAAAGAACCCCGGCGAGGGGAGUGAAAAAGAACCUGAAACCGUGUACGUACAAGCAGUGGGAGCACGCUUCGGCGUGUGACUGCGUACCUUUUGUAUAAUGGGUCAGCGACUUAUAUUCUGUAGCAAGGUUAACCGAAUAGGGGAGCCGAAGGGAAACCGAGUCUUAACUGGGCGUUAAGUUGCAGGGUAUAGACCCGAAACCCGGUGAUCUAGCCAUGGGCAGGUUGAAGGUUGGGUAACACUAACUGGAGGACCGAACCGACUAAUGUUGAAAAAUUAGCGGAUGACUUGUGGCUGGGGGUGAAAGGCCAAUCAAACCGGGAGAUAGCUGGUUCUCCCCGAAAGCUAUUUAGGUAGCGCCUCGUGAAUUCAUCUCCGGGGGUAGAGCACUGUUUCGGCAAGGGGGUCAUCCCGACUUACCAACCCGAUGCAAACUGCGAAUACCGGAGAAUGUUAUCACGGGAGACACACGGCGGGUGCUAACGUCCGUCGUGAAGAGGGAAACAACCCAGACCGCCAGCUAAGGUCCCAAAGUCAUGGUUAAGUGGGAAACGAUGUGGGAAGGCCCAGACAGCCAGGAUGUUGGCUUAGAAGCAGCCAUCAUUUAAAGAAAGCGUAAUAGCUCACUGGUCGAGUCGGCCUGCGCGGAAGAUGUAACGGGGCUAAACCAUGCACCGAAGCUGCGGCAGCGACACUAUGUGUUGUUGGGUAGGGGAGCGUUCUGUAAGCCUGUGAAGGUGUGCUGUGAGGCAUGCUGGAGGUAUCAGAAGUGCGAAUGCUGACAUAAGUAACGAUAAAGCGGGUGAAAAGCCCGCUCGCCGGAAGACCAAGGGUUCCUGUCCAACGUUAAUCGGGGCAGGGUGAGUCGACCCCUAAGGCGAGGCCGAAAGGCGUAGUCGAUGGGAAACAGGUUAAUAUUCCUGUACUUGGUGUUACUGCGAAGGGGGGACGGAGAAGGCUAUGUUGGCCGGGCGACGGUUGUCCCGGUUUAAGCGUGUAGGCUGGUUUUCCAGGCAAAUCCGGAAAAUCAAGGCUGAGGCGUGAUGACGAGGCACUACGGUGCUGAAGCAACAAAUGCCCUGCUUCCAGGAAAAGCCUCUAAGCAUCAGGUAACAUUAAAUCGUACCCCAAACCGACACAGGUGGUCAGGUAGAGAAUACCAAGGCGCUUGAGAGAACUCGGGUGAAGGAACUAGGCAAAAUGGUGCCGUAACUUCGGGAGAAGGCACGCUGAUAUGUAGGUGAAGUCCCUCGCGGAUGGAGCUGAAAUCAGUCGAAGAUACCAGCUGGCUGCAACUGUUUAUUAAAAACACAGCACUGUGCAAACACGAAAGUGGACGUAUACGGUGUGACGCCUGCCCGGUGCCGGAAGGUUAAUUGAUGGGGUUAGCGGUAACGCGAAGCUCUUGAUCGAAGCCCCGGUAAACGGCGGCCGUAACUAUAACGGUCCUAAGGUAGCGAAAUUCCUUGUCGGGUAAGUUCCGACCUGCACGAAUGGCGUAAUGAUGGCCAGGCUGUCUCCACCCGAGACUCAGUGAAAUUGAACUCGCUGUGAAGAUGCAGUGUACCCGCGGCAAGACGGAAAGACCCCGUGAACCUUUACUAUAGCUUGACACUGAACAUUGAGCCUUGAUGUGUAGGAUAGGUGGGAGGCUUUGAAGUGUGGACGCCAGUCUGCAUGGAGCCGACCUUGAAAUACCACCCUUUAAUGUUUGAUGUUCUAACGUUGACCCGUGAUCCGGGUUGCGGACAGUGUCUGGUGGGUAGUUUGACUGGGGCGGUCUCCUCCUAAAGAGUAACGGAGGAGCACGAAGGUUGGCUAAUCCUGGUCGGACAUCAGGAGGUUAGUGCAAUGGCAUAAGCCAGCUUGACUGCGAGCGUGACGGCGCGAGCAGGUGCGAAAGCAGGUCAUAGUGAUCCGGUGGUUCUGAAUGGAAGGGCCAUCGCUCAACGGAUAAAAGGUACUCCGGGGAUAACAGGCUGAUACCGCCCAAGAGUUCAUAUCGACGGCGGUGUUUGGCACCUCGAUGUCGGCUCAUCACAUCCUGGGGCUGAAGUAGGUCCCAAGGGUAUGGCUGUUCGCCAUUUAAAGUGGUACGCGAGCUGGGUUUAGAACGUCGUGAGACAGUUCGGUCCCUAUCUGCCGUGGGCGCUGGAGAACUGAGGGGGGCUGCUCCUAGUACGAGAGGACCGGAGUGGACGCAUCACUGGUGUUCGGGUUGUCAUGCCAAUGGCACUGCCCGGUAGCUAAAUGCGGAAGAGAUAAGUGCUGAAAGCAUCUAAGCACGAAACUUGCCCCGAGAUGAGUUCUCCCUGACUCCUUGAGAGUCCUGAAGGAACGUUGAAGACGACGACGUUGAUAGGCCGGGUGUGUAAGCGCAGCGAUGCGUUGAGCUAACCGGUACUAAUGAACCGUGAGG
rnacentral:rRNA from 1 species